GCGCCGGCGACUCGCCGAAUGAGUUUCUGACCUAUCAACUCGAGACGGCGGGGUAGAGGCCCGCCGCGGUAACGACGGGUAACGGGGAAUCAGGGUUCGAUUCCGGAGAGGGAGCCCGAGAAACGGCUACCACUUCCAAGGAAGGCAGCAGGCGCGCAACUUACCCUAAUCUCGAUUCGAGGAGGUAGUGACAAGAAAUACCGAUGCGGGACCCUACGGGUGCCGCGUUCGGAAUGAGUACGAUUCGAACCACCUAACGAGGAACGAUCGGAGGGCAAGUCUGGUGCCAGCAGCCGCGGUAAUUCCAGCUCCAAUAGCGUACGUUAAAGUUGCUGCAGUUAAAAAGCUCGUAGUUGAACGUUCGGGUUCCGCGGGACGGGGCCGCCCCGCGAGGGACGGCGCCGCCCCGGGGCUCGUGAUAUCUCAUCUCGCCGCCCGUCGCGAGGCGGACGGAGGGAUGGAUGAGGUUACCUGGAAAAAAUC
rnacentral:rRNA from 1 species